GGGACUGUAGCUCAGCGGGAGAGCGCCAGACUGAAGAUCUGGAUGUCAAGGGUUCAAAUCCCUUCAGUCCCA
rnacentral:tRNA from 1 species